AUUGAACGCUGGCGGCAGGCCUAACACAUGCAAGUCGAGCGGAUGAAGGGAGCUUGCUCCUGGAUCCAGCGGCGGACGGGUGAGUAAUGCCUAGGAAUCUGCCUGGUAGUGGGGGAUAACGUCCGGAAACGGGCGCUAAUACCGCAUACGUCCUGAGGGAGAAAGUGGGGGAUCUUCGGACCUCACGCUAUCAGAUGAGCCUAGGUCGGAUUAGCUAGUUGGUGGGGUAAAGGCCUACCAAGGCGACGAUCCGUAACUGGUCUGAGAGGAUGAUCAGUCACACUGGGACUGAGACACGGUCCAGACUCCUACGGGAGGCAGCAGUGGGGAAUAUUGGACAAUGGGCGAAAGCCUGAUCCAGCCAUGCCGCGUGUGUGAAGAAGGUCUUCGGAUUGUAAAGCACUUUAAGUUGGGAGGAAGGGCAGUAAGUUAAUACCUUGCUGUUUUGACGUUACAAACAGAAUAAGCACCGGCUAACUUCGUG
rnacentral:rRNA from 1 species